rnacentral:sRNA from 1 species
CUUCGAUUUUGGCGGCAAGUCGCUCACCAAUGAAUGGCAUUGCAAGCGCUUGCUCUUUCGUGACUAUCUUCUCUUUCUGCUUCCGCAGAAUACUGAUGGCCUUUCGAUACGCAAGUGCGCGCCAUUCAUCUGAAACACGGUCGUAAUAAUCCGACAUUUUCUGCAAAAUCUCAAUGGUUUGAGCAUUGGGAUUGUUCUCGUCUGUGUGUCCAUCGUGCUUGUGCAUACAACUAAAAGUCUCUUGCCAUUGCGGGAUUUCAUUAGAUCGUUUCUUUUUCCUGGCCUUCUUUCGUUUCUCAGUUUCCGAAUCAGAGUUUGAAUGUGCUUCUUCUAUAUUUGAAGCCGUGUCUAAAUCCUCUUCGUCUGACUGAUCCAAAGGCUGUUGUCAUUCAGCAUAUCGCUAAGAUAGACAGUGAGAAAAGAGCGUUCUAUUUUCACUUACCAGUUCCUUUUCUACGCGUGUUUGUUUAAUCAUCUCAUCUAAAAUGUCAGGUCCCGUGUGAGAGAACUGCUCCACUGCACCAUCGCACUCAUCUUUACGAUAACUCUCAGAAAAAAGUGAUGGCACUGGCGGGCUGUGAAACUCUUCGCCGAUUGGUGGUGAUCGGGAUGGAGUGGGAAUUUCCAGAUAAUUCCCACCCCGAACAGGUUUCACUUUUGGUGAAUCGCGCACUACAGGCGUUUCACCUGAUUUGAUGAUUUCUCUAUCAUCAACCGGAACUCCACGGACACGGAAGCGAACAUGAGACGCACUCAAAAGAGACCCACAGCUGAUACAUUCAGAAGGGUAGGAUUCAUUUACCAGAGAGACUGA